rnacentral:rRNA from 1 species
CCUACGGGAGGCAGCAGUGAGGAAUAUUGGUCAAUGGGCGAGAGCCUGAACCAGCCAAGUAGCGUGAAGGAUGACUGCCCUACGGGUUGUAAACUUCUUUUAUAAAGGAAUAAAGUGAGGCACGUGUGCCUUUUUGUAUGUACUUUAUGAAUAAGGAUCGGCUAACUCCGUGCCAGCAGCCGCGGUAAUACGGAGGAUUCGAGCGUUAUCCGGAUUUAUUGGGGUUAAAGGGGGUGUAGAUGGGUUGUUAAGUCAGUUGUGAAAGUUUGCGGCUCAACCGUUAAAUUGCAAUUGAUACUGGGAGUCUUGAGUACAGUUGAGGUAGGCGGAAUUCGUGGUGUAGCGGUGAAAUGCUUAGAUAUCACGAAGAACUCCGAUUGCGAAGGCAGCUUACUAAACUGCCACUGACAUUGAUGCUCGAAAGUGUGGGUAUCAAACAGGAUUAGAUACCCCAGUAGUC